rnacentral:SRP_RNA from 1 species
GCCGGGCUUGGUAACGCGAGCCUGUGACUCAAGUGAGGGCUUUAAAGUGGGAUGGACUGUGAUUGAGCCCAGAUUGGUUGGGUCAAGUUGGAGCAAUAUCUGGCUUGCCCGUUCCAAGUUUGGAGUUGGGUGGUUCAGGCGAAGGCCUGGGCUACUUGGCUCCUAAAGUUGAGGGCAAUGCGUUAGGCUGGUCAUGUGGUUCAGGCGAAGGCCUGGGCUACUUGGCUCCUAAAGUUGAGGGCAAUGCGUUAGGCUGGUUUCACAGAGCUGCGAGAACCUCACGCUCUAGACAGUGGAAGGAUUACAUGUCGGUGCACCCUUGGCUCAGUUAACCAUCUUGGUUCUUUCUAAUGAACUCCCACUUUU